UACAGAGGUCCCGAGCGUUGUUCGGAUUUACUGGGCGUAAAGGGUGCGUAGGCGGUAAGGUGUGUCGGAUGUGAAAUCUCCGGGCUCAACCCGGAAAGUGCGUCCGAAACUGCCAUACUAGAGUGUGGGAUGGGAGAUCGGAAUGCAGGGUGUAGCGGUGAAAUGCGUUGAUAUCCUGCAGAACACCGGUGGCGAAGGCGGAUCUCUGGAACACAACUGACGCUCAGGCACGAAAGUCGGGGGAG
rnacentral:rRNA from 1 species